rnacentral:rRNA from 1 species
UACGAGUGCCCCAAGCGUUAUCCGGAAUUAUUGGGCGUAAAGGGUCCGCAGGCGGUUUUAUUAGUCUUGUGUGAAAUCUCCCGGCUUAACUGGGAAAACGCACAGGAAACGGUAGAACUAGAGGAUGUGAGAGGUAUGUGGAACUCAUGGUGUAGGGGUGAAAUCCGUUGAUAUCAUGGGGAACACCAAAAGCGAAGGCAGCAUACUGGCACAUUCCUGACGCUCAGGGACGAAAGCACGGGUAGCGAAU